AUUGAACGCUGGCGGCAGGCUUAACACAUGCAAGUCGAGCGGAGAUGAGGUGCUUGCACCUUAUCUUAGCGGCGGACGGGUGAGUAAUUCUCAGGAAUCUGCCAUUUAGUGGGGGACAACAUUCCGAAAGGAAUGCUAAUACCGCAUAAGUCCUACGGGAGAAAGCAGGGGAUCUUCGGACCUUGCGCUAAAUGAUGAGCCUAAGUCGGAUUAGCUAGUUGGUGGGGUAAAGGCCUACCAAGGCGACGAUCUGUAGCGGGUCUGAGAGGAUGAUCCGCCACACAGGGACUGAGACAAGGCCCAGAAUCCUACGGGAGGCAGCAGUGGGGAAUAUUGGACAAUGGGCGGAAGCCUGAUCCAGCCAUGCCGCGUGUGUGAAGAAGGCCUUUUGGUUGUAAAGCACUUUAAGCGAGGAGGAGGCUACUAGUACUAAUACUACUGGAUAGUGGACGUUACUCGCAGAAUAAGCACCGGCUAACUCUGUGCCAGCCGCCGCGGUAA
rnacentral:rRNA from 1 species